AUGUCUGCCUACUUCACUACCAUACCAUGUAGCCUAAGCUUCCCUUGGUUAAAGCUUGAGAUUUGGUUUAAUAGAGGAAAGAUGAGAGAAGAAAAAAUGGAGAUUGUUCUGAUUUCCCUGGAUUUGAACUACUUUGGAAGUGAUCCUAUUUGUAAGCUUGGUGACCACUUCAUCAUCAUCAUCAUCAUCAUCAUCAUCAUCAUCAUCUGCAUUUAUCAUCAUCACUUCCAUGAGUUGAAAAUUAGGCUCUGUGCUAACAAUUGAAACCUGUUAUUCCAUUUAAUCCUUGCAAAUGAAUUAUGCGGCUGUUAUGGCCUCUGGUUAUCUAAGUGAAGAAAAUGAGACUCAUCCAGUUUAAAUAACUUGCCUGGUUUCAAUUAACCAGUACAUAAGCUGUAUGCCCAGGACUUAGAGUCUAGGACAAGCAGAUCCAGAUUCUGACAGGACAGAGAACAACUCAGAGCCAUUUGUGGGUUUGAAUCUCCUUUACUCACAGUGGCAGUGAGAAACGCACAAGGAACAGCCACUUGCCUCCUGAUAGCAGUGUGGCCACAGGAGAUGUCCUCCUUUGUGUUUACGGUGGCGGUUUGCCACACAUACAGACAUGUACACACAUCCACACAUAGGCAGCUGCAUACACCCACACAUCCAUCCCCAGGCAGCCGCACCUAGCUGUGCUCCCCAGUUGCUCAUGUGAGUUUAUAAACAAAGGUGGCUUAAGCCCAAACUGUUACAUACCAGUCUUGUGGGCAGUGAGUCCAGCAGGUAGACCUGUCAGUUGCCAAGGAGAAACAGAGAUAUGGGAACACAGAGAUAAGGGGGCAGGGGCAAAAAGGUGUGAGAAUUUAAUAUCUCCACCUUCCCAGAUUCAUCAUCUCAAUAGCAACGACAGCAUUUGAUUGACUCCAAAAGUCCAUGCUCUUAGUCUCUCUACUAUAGUGUUUUACUUUUCCCUUCUCUGAGCUUCAGUUCACUCAGCUUGGUGAACGAGGAACAGCUUCUCUCUACUGCUAAGUCUGGUUCUUAAGUUUCUUCCAGCUUCCCCGCCACUACCCUACAACAGCCCUGAGGAUAUCUCAGAUCCUGGAAAUACUUCCUGCCCUCCAGUGCACCCCCUCAAUUUUCAUUUUUUUACAAAGAUUAUUUUUAUUCCCUUGAUAGUCUUUCUAGUGUCCACUUAGGCCUUAUUAUAAUUUUUAGGACUGCCUCUCACCUCCUAGGGGCUACAGUUAAAUUAUGAGAUUUAUAUAGUUUUAGGGUCCAU
rnacentral:lncRNA from 1 species